rnacentral:rRNA from 1 species
UCGAACGCGGUUACUCCGCAAGGGGUAACUGAGUGGCGAACGGGUGAGUAACACGUGGGUGACCUACCUUCGAGUGGGGGAUAACGUCCCGAAAGGGACGCUAAUACCGCAUAACAUCCUGCCUUUGAACAGGUGGCGAUCAAAGCCGGGGACCGCAAGGCCCGGCGCUUGAUGAGGGGCCCGCGUCCGAUUAGCUAGUUGGUGAGGUAACGGCUCACCAAGGCGACGAUCGGUAACCGGCCUGAGAGGGCGGACGGUCACACUGGGACUGAGACACGGCCCAGACUCCUACGGGAGGCAGCAGUGGGGAAUUGUUCGCAAUGGGCGCAAGCCUGACGACGCAACGCCGCGUGGAGGAUGAAGGUCUUCGGAUUGUAAACUCCUGUUGCCCGGGACGGAUAGCUCCGACCUAAUACGUCGGAGUCUGACGGUACCGGGUGAGGAAGCCCCGGCUAACUCUGUGCCAGCAGCCGCGGUAAUACAGAGGGGGCAAGCGUUGUUCGGAAUUACUGGGCGUAAAGGGCGCGUAGGCGGCCUGCUAAGUCGAACGUGAAAUCCCCGGGCUCAACCCGGGAACUGCGUCCGAUACUGGCAGGCUUGAAUUCGGGAGAGGGAUGCGGAAUUCCAGGUGUAGCGGUGAAAUGCGUAGAUAUCUGGAGGAACACCGGUGGCGAAGGCGGCAUCCUGGACCGAGAUUGACGCUGAGGCGCGAAA